rnacentral:rRNA from 1 species
GAUGAACGCUGGCGGCGUGCCUAAUACAUGCAAGUCGAGCGAACGGACGAGAAGCUUGCUUCUCUGAUGUUAGCGGCGGACGGGUGAGUAACACGUGGAUAACCUACCUAUGAGACUGGGAUAACUUCGGGAAACCGUAGCUAAUACCAGAUAAUAUUUUGAACCGCAUGGUUCAAAAGUGAAAGACGGUCUUGCUGUCACUUAUAGAUGGAUCCGCGCUGCAUUAGCUAGUUGGUAAGGUAACGGCUUACCAAGGCAACGAUGCAUAGCCGACCUGAGAGGGUGAUCGGCCACACUGGAACUGAGACACGGUCCAGACUCCUACGGGAGGCAGCAGUAGGGAAUCUUCCGCAAUGGGCGAAAGCCUGACGGAGCAACGCCGCGUGAGUGAUGAAGGUCUUCGGAUCGUAAAACUCUGUUAUUAGGGAAGAACAUAUGUGUAAGUAACUGUGCACAUCUUGACGGUACCUAAUCAGAAAGCCACGGCUAACUACGUGCCAGCAGCCGCGGUAAUACGUAGGUGGGCAGCGUUAUCCGGAAUUAUUGGGCGUAAAGCGCGCGUAGGCGGUUUUUUAAGUCUGAUGUGAAAGCCCACGGCUCAACCGUGGAGGGUCAUUGGAAACUGGAAAACUUGAGUGCAGAAGAGGAAAGUGGAAUUCCAUGUGUAGCGGUGAAAUGCGCAGAGAUAUGGAGGAACACCAGUGGCGAAGGCGACUUUCUGGUCUGUAACUGACGCUGAUGUGCGAAAGCGUGGGGAUCAAACAGGAUUAGAUACCCUGGUAGUCCACGCCGUAAACGAUGAGUGCUAAGUGUUAGGGGGUUUCCGCCCCUUAGUGCUGCAGCUAACGCAUUAAGCACUCCGCCUGGGGAGUACGACCGCAAGGUUGAAACUCAAAGGAAUUGACGGGGACCCGCACAAGCGGUGGAGCAUGUGGUUUAAUUCGAAGCAACGCGAAGAACCUUACCAAAUCUUGACAUCCUUUGACAACUCUAGAGAUAGAGCCUUCCCCUUCGGGGGACAAAGUGACAGGUGGUGCAUGGUUGUCGUCAGCUCGUGUCGUGAGAUGUUGGGUUAAGUCCCGCAACGAGCGCAACCCUUAAGCUUAGUUGCCAUCAUUAAGUUGGGCACUCUAAGUUGACUGCCGGUGACAAACCGGAGGAAGGUGGGGAUGACGUCAAAUCAUCAUGCCCCUUAUGAUUUGGGCUACACACGUGCUACAAUGGACAAUACAAAGGGCAGCGAAACCGCGAGGUCAAGCAAAUCCCAUAAAGUUGUUCUCAGUUCGGAUUGUAGUCUGCAACUCGACUACAUGAAGCUGGAAUCGCUAGUAAUCGUAGAUCAGCAUGCUACGGUGAAUACGUUCCCGGGUCU